CACCGCCCGUCACACUAUAGGAGCUGGCCAUGUUUGAAGUCAUUACCCUUAACCAUAAGGAGGGGGAUGCCUAAGGCUAGGCUUGCGACUGGAGUGAAGUCGUAACAAGGUAGCCGUACUGGAAGGUGCUGCUG
rfam:Oryza sativa (indica cultivar-group) chromosome 6, whole genome shotgun sequence.